rnacentral:tRNA from 2 species
UAUGGCAGAUUAGUGCAAAAGAUUUAAAAUCUUUAUAUAAAGAUUUACUUUUAUUAAAA